rnacentral:rRNA from 1 species
UGGGGAAUUUUGGACAAUGGGCGCAAGCCUGAUCCAGCCAUGCCGCGUGCGGGAAGAAGGCCUUCGGGUUGUAAACCGCUUUUGUCAGGGAAGAAAUCUUCUGAGUUAAUACCUCGGGGAGGGAUGACGGUACCUGAAGAAUAAGCACCGGCUAACUACGUGCCAGCAGCCGCGGUAAUACGUAGGGUGCAAGCGUUAAUCGGAAUUACUGGGCGUAAAGCGUGCGCAGGCGGUUUUGUAAGACAGAGGUGAAAUCCCCGGGCUCAACCUGGGGACUGCCUUUGUGACUGCAAGGCUUGAGUGCGGCAGAGGGGGAUGGAAUUCCGCGUGUAGCAGUGAAAUGCGUAGAUAUGCGGAGGAACACCGAUGGCGAAGGCAAUCCCCUGGGCCUGCACUGACGCUCAUGCACGAAAGCGUGGGGAGCAAACCAGGAUUAGAUAGCCCUGGGUAGUCCACGCCCUAAACGAUGUCAACUGGUUGUUGGGAAGGUUCCUUCUCAGUAACGUAGCUAACGCGU